rnacentral:rRNA from 1 species
UACGGGGGGGGCAAGCGUUGUUCGGAAUUACUGGCGUAAAGGGCUCGUAGGCGGCCAACUAAGUCGGACGUGAAAUCCCCUCGGCUCAACCGGGGAACUGCCGUCCGAUACUGGAUGGCUUGAAUCCGGGAGAGGGAUGCGGAAUUCCAGGUGUAGCGGUGAAAAUGCGUAGAUAUCUGGAGGAACACCGGUGGCGAAGGCGGCACUCCUGGACCGGCAUUGACGCUGACGGAGCGAAAGCCAGGGGAGC